rnacentral:rRNA from 1 species
CCCUUAGAUGUCCGGGGCUGCACGCGCGCUACACUGAAGGAAUCAGCGUGCUAAAACCAUUGUCGAAAGGCAUUGGUAAACCCAUUAAAAUCCUACGUGAUUGGGAUCGGGAAUUGCAAUUAUUUCCCUUGAACGAGGAAUUCCCAGUAAGUGUGGGUCAUAAGCUCGCGUUGAUUGCGUCCCUGCCCUUUGUACACACCGCCCGUCGCUGCCCGGGACUGAGCCGUUUCGAGAAAAGCGGGGACUGCUGCUGUCGGGGCUUUCGGGCCUUGGCUUCGGUGGAAACCGCUUUAAUCGCAGUGGCUUGAACCGGGCAAAAGUCGUAACA